rnacentral:rRNA from 1 species
UGGGGAAUUUUGGACAAUGGGCGAAAGCCUGAUCCAGCAAUGCCGCGUGUGUGAAGAAGGCCUUCGGGUUGUAAAGCACUUUUGUCCGGAAAGAAAUCCUUGGCUCUAAUACAGUCGGGGGAUGACGGUACCGGAAGAAUAAGCACCGGCUAACUACGUGCCAGCAGCCGCGGUAAUACGUAGGGUGCAAGCGUUAAUCGGAAUUACUGGGCGUAAAGCGUGCGCAGGCGGUUUGCUAAGACCGAUGUGAAAUCCCCGGGCUCAACCUGGGAACUGCAUUGGUGACUGGCAGGCUAGAGUAUGGCAGAGGGGGGUAGAAUUCCACGUGUAGCAGUGAAAUGCGUAGAGAUGUGGAGGAAUACCGAUGGCGAAGGCAGCCCCCUGGGCCAAUACUGACGCUCAUGCACGAAAAGCGUGGGGAGCAAACAGGAUUAGAUACCCUGGUAGUCCACGCCCUAAAACGAUGUCAACUAGUUGUUGGGGAUUCAUUUCCUUAGUAACGUAGCUAACGCGUGAAGUUGACCGCCUGGGGAGUACGGUCGCAAAGAUUAAAACUCAAAUGAAUUGACGGGGUCAUAGCUG